GACAAACGCUAACGGUGCGCCUAAUACAUGCAAGUCGAACGAGCGAUGUAGAAGUGGCAACACUUUUACAAAGCUAGUGGCGAACGGGUGAGUAACGCGUAGACAAUCUGCCUUGGAGAUUGGGACAACCAUUCGAAAGAAUGGCUAAUACCAAAUACCUUAUAUUAACCGCAUGGUUUUUAUAAUAAAGGGGGGCUUUUAGCUCUCGCUUCAAGAUGAGUCUGCGUCCUAUUAGCUUGUUGGUGAGGUAAAAGCUCACCAAGGCAACGAUGGGUAGCCGGCCUGAGAGGGUGAUCGGCCACACUGGGACUGAGAUACGGCCCAGACUCCUACGGGAGGCAGCAGUAGGGAAUUUUGCGCAAUGGGCGAAAGCCUGACGCAGCGACACCGUGUGAAGGAUGAAGGCCUUCGGGUCGUAAACUUCUGUCAAUUGGGGACGAAGGUAGUAGGGUUAAUACCCCGAAUAC
rnacentral:rRNA from 1 species